UGCAUUCUUCUACAUGUUGACCUCCAGUU
rnacentral:piRNA from 1 species